rnacentral:rRNA from 1 species
CCUACGGGUGGCAGCAGUGAGGAAUAUUGGUCAAUGGACGAGAGUCUGAACCAGCCAAGUAGCGUGAAGGAUGACUGCCCUAUGGGUUGUAAACUUCUUUUAUAUGGGAAUAAAAUGUUCCACGUGUGGGAUUUUGUAUGUACCUUAUGAAUAAGGAUCGGCUAACUCCGUGCCAGCAGCCGCGGUAAUACGGAGGAUCCGAUCGUUAUCCGGUUUUAUUGGGUUUAAAGGGAGCGUAAGUGGAUUGUUAAGUCAGUGGUGAAAGUUUUCGGCUAAACCGUAAAGUUGCAGUUGAAACUGGCAGUCUGAAGUACAGUAGGGGUGGGCGGAAUUCGUGGUGUAGCGGUGAAAUGCU